AAGUCGUAACAAGGUUUCCGUAGGUGAACCUGCGGAAGGAUCAUUAAUGAAUGCAAGGAUGCUCUCUUUAGAGGUCCGACCCAAUCAUUUUCCAACCCUGUGCACACACACUAUUUUAUACACCAUUUAAAAUACUCUAAAAACGUCUAUAAAGAAUUGCCAAAAUGUCUCUUGAUUGAGCAUAAAAUUGAAAGCAAAAU
rnacentral:misc_RNA from 1 species